AAUUAGGAUGGGAUGCUACAUUGGGAAUGGUCGGGA
rnacentral:tRNA from 1 species